rnacentral:rRNA from 1 species
CCCUAAGGGGAACCCGAAAGGGGUAACCGAUGGGAAGCCGGUAAAGAUUCCGGCGCCAGGCGUCCGGGAGGUACGAGCGGGGACACAGGAGGAUAGGCUCUGCGAAGAAAUGGGAAAUUCGUCCAAGCCUCGAGCUGUAGAAGCGCGUAGGGAAGGCCGCGCGCGGAGGUAAGGGGUGAAGGGGAGUCCAUCGAAGGGUGGGCAACGGAGCUGAGUUCACACUGUCAAGAAAAGCCGCGCGUACCGGCGAACGGAAGCCUGACCGUUCUAAAAACCGACACAGGUAGGCUAGUUGAGAAGACUAAGGGGAGCGGGAGAACCUCCGCUAAGGAACUAGGCAAAAUGGCCCCGUAACUUCGGGAGAAGGGGCGCUCCUGCGGGUUAAGAGCUAGCGGGAGCUGCAAAGACCAGGCUCUGGCGACUGUUUACCAAAAACACAGGACUCUGCGAACACGAUGAGUGGACGUAUAGGGUCUGACGCCUGCCCAGUGCUGGAAGGUUAAGGGGAGUGGUCAGCGCGAGCGAAGCUACGAACCGAAGCCCCAGUAAACGGCGGCCGUAACUAUAACGGUCCUAAGGUAGCGAAAUUCCUUGUCGGGCAAGUUCAGACCUGCAUGAAUGGCGUAACGAUCGGAGCACUGUCUCAGCGGAGGGCCCGGUGAAAUUCCAAUCUUGGUGAAGAUGCCAAGUUACCCGCGAUUAGACGGGAAGACCCCAUGAAGCUUUACUGUAUCCUAAUAUGGUAUAGUGGUGGAAGGCGUACAGGAUAGGUGGGAGGCAGCGAACGCUGCGCGUCAGCGCUGCGGGAGCCGACGGUGGGAUACCACCUCCUUCCAGCGUUAUACUAACCGAGGUAGGUGGAGAGCCUAUCAGGGACAGUGUUAGGGGGGCAGUUUGACUGGGGCGGUCGCCUCCAAAAAGGUAACGGAGGCGCGCGAAGGUGGGCUCAGGCUGGUUGGGAAUCAGCUGGCGAGUGCAAGGGCAAAAGCCCGCCUGACAGUGAGAGAGACAUCUCGAGCUGAGACGAAAGUCGGUCCUAAUGACCAGGUGGUGCUGUGUGGAAAGGCCAUCGCUCAACGGACAAAAGCUACUCUGGGGAUAACAGGCUGAUACCGUCCGAGAGUCCAUAUCGACGACGGUGUUUGGCACCUCGAUGUCGGCUCAUCGCAUCCUGGGGCUGUAGUCGGUCCCAAGGGUUGGGCUGUCCGCCCAUUAAAGCGGUACGUGAGCUGGGUUCAGAACGUCGUAAGACAGUUCGGUCCCUAUCUGUCGCGGGCGCAGGAUACUUGAGAAGGCUUCUCCCCAGUACGAGAGGACCGGGAGGAGUGGACCGCUGGUGAACCAGUUGUGCUACCAAGCGCAUAAGCUGGGUAUCUAAGUCCAUGAGUGAUAAGCGCUGAAAGCAUCUAAGCGCGAAACAUGCUUCAAGAUGAGGUAUCCCAUCGAAAGAGUAAGGGCCGUUCGAGAACAGGACGUAGAUAGGCCGCAGGUGGAAGCGGUGCGAGCCGUGCAGCCGAGCGGUACUAAUCGCCCGAGGCCUUGACCU